rnacentral:ncRNA from 1 species
CUAAGCCCGUGAAGCCGUUCCGGACCCUUCGGGGAAAGGAAGUGGUGGAGCCGGUGACCCGAUCUGGUAGUAGGUGAGUGAUGGGGUGACGCAGGAACGGUAGUCCAGCCCGGGCGGUGGUUGUCCCGGGUAAGGGUGUAGGCCGUGCGGUGGUAAAUCCGUCGCACACAAGGCUGAGACCUGAUGCCGAGCCGAUUGUGGUGAAGUGGAUGAUCCUAUGCUGUCGAGAAAAGCCUCUAGCGAGUUUCAUGGCGGCCCGUACCCUAAACCGACUCAGGUGGUCAGGUAGAGAAUACCGAGGCGUUCGGGUGAACUAUGGUUAAGGAACUCGGCAAAAUGCCCCCGUAACUUCGGGAGAAGGGGGGCCACAUCUGGUGAUGAGCUUUGCGCUCUGAGCUGGGGGUGGCCGCAGAGACCAGCGAGAAGCGACUGUUUACUAAAAACACAGGUCCGUGCGAAGCCGUAAGGCGAUGUAUACGGACUGACGCCUGCCCGGUGCUGGAAC